rnacentral:rRNA from 1 species
UACGUAGGGGGCAAGCGUUGUCCGGAUUUAUUGGGCGUAAAGAGCGUGUAGGCGGCCUUACAGGUCAGCUGUGAAAACUCGAGGCUCAACCUCGAGACGUCGGUUGAAACCGUAAGGCUAGAGUCCGGAAGAGGAGAGUGGAAUUCCCGGUGUAGCGGUGAAAUGCGCAGAUAUCGGGAAGAACACCCGUGGCGAAGGCAGGUCUCUGGGCCACUACUGACGCUGAGAAGCGAAAGCAUGGGGAGCGAACAGG